GCCGCGUGAGUGAUGAAGGCCUAUUAGGUUGUAAAGCUCUUUGAGCAGGGAAGAUAAUGACGGUACCUGCAGAAUAAGCCCCGGCUAACUACGUGCCAGCAGCCGCGGUAAUACGUAGGGGGCUAGCGUUGUUCGGAAUUACUGGGCGUAAAGAGCGCGUAGGUGGUCAUACAAGUUAGGAGUGAAAUCCCGGAGCUUAACUUCGGAACUGCUCUUAAAACUGUAUGGCUUGAGUGUGGUAGGGGGUAAUAGAAUUCCUAGUGUAGAGGUGAAAUUCUUAGAUAUUAGGAGGAAUACCGAUGGCGAAGGCGAUUACCUGGGCCACUACUGACACUGAGGCGCGAAAGCGUGGGGAGCAAACAGGAUUAGAUACCCUGGUAGUCCACGCAGUAAAUGGUGAGUGCUAGAUGUCGGGAAUUUUAUUUUCGGCCUCGCAGCUAACGCAUUAAGCACUCCGCCUGGGGAGUACGGUCGCAAGAUUAAAACUCAAAGGAAUUGACGGGGGCCUGCACAAGCGGUGGAGCAUGCGGUUUAAUUCGAUGCUACGCGAAAAACCUUACCAACCCUUGACAUGUUGGUCGCGGAGGUAGAGAUAUCUCUUUCAGUUCGGCUGGACCAAACACAGGUGUUGCACGGCUGUCGUCAGCUCGUGUCGUGAGAUGUUGGGUUAAGUCCCGCAACGAGCGCAACCCUCAUCUUUAUUUGCCAGCGGGUUAAGCCGGGAACUAUAAAGAAACUGCCAGCGUAAGCUGGAGGAAGGUGGGGACGAUGUCAAGUCAUCAUGGCCCUUAUGGGUUGGGCUACACGCGUGCUACAAUGGUAACUACAGAGAGGAGCAAGGCGGCGACGCGAAGCAAAUCUUCAAAAGUUAUCUCAGUUCGGAUUGGACUCUGAAACUCGAGUCCAUGAAGCCGGAAUCGCUAGUAAUCGCGGAUCAGAAUGCCGCGGUGAAUACGUUCCCAGGCCUUGUACACACUGCCCGUCACGCCAUGGGAGUUGGUAUUACCUGAAGCUGGUGAGCUAACCCGCAAGGGAGGCAGCCAACCACGAUAGGAUCAUAUCGUGACUGGGAAACAGAUCGGAAGAGCACAC
rnacentral:rRNA from 1 species